UACGUAGGGUGCGAGCGUUGUCCGGAAUUACUGGGCGUAAAGAGCUCGUAGGUGGUUUGUCGCGUUGUCCGUGAAAACUCACAACUCAAUUGUGGGCGUGCGGGCGAUACGGGCAGACUGGAGUACUGCAGGGGAGACUGGAAUUCCUGGUGUAGCGGUGGAAUGCGCAGAUAUCAGGAGGAACACCGGUGGCGAAGGCGGGUCUCUGGGCAGUAACUGACGCUGAGGAGCGAAGCGUGGGAGCGAACAGGA
rnacentral:rRNA from 1 species